rnacentral:lncRNA from 1 species
GCAAGAACUCCUGAAAGAGAAAACACUUGCUGAGCAGAAUUUGGAGGAUACCAGACAACAGCUCUUGGCAGCCAGAAGCAGCCAGGCUAAGGCCAUUAACACCCUGGAGACUCGGGUGAGAGAACUGGAGCAGACCUUGCAGGCCUCUGAGGAGCAGCUCCAACAGAGCAAGGGCAUUGUGGCUGCCCAGGAAACUCAGAUACAGGAGCUCGUAAGUGCUUAUUGGAGCUGCUGCAUUCCAGGCCCUUAAUGCUUUCUCUCCAGGCCUUUGCAGAUGCUCCAAACUCAUUCCGAACUUCGGCAACGGUACCUGGACCUGCCCAUAGAUACAGUUCUUGUGCUGGAUGUGAGCAGGCCAGCAGCAGGGGGUGGAGGGAGUCAGGACCUAAUGGUGGGCCUGAGUUACCUGGGAGGUGCACCAGCAGCUCCUUUCCACCUUACAUCCCACCUUCUGGUCCAGCCUGGUCCUGGGGCUGUCAGAGGUGGCAGCUCCGCUAGGAGUCAAGCCUCAACUUGCAAUCA